rnacentral:rRNA from 1 species
CCUACGGGGGACAGCAGUGAGGAAUAUUGGUCAAUGGACGAGAGUCUGAACCAGCCAAGUAGCGUGAAGGAUGACUGCCCUAUGGGUUGUAAACUUCUUUUAUAUGGGAAUAAAACGUUCCACGUGUGGGAUUUUGUAUGUACCAUAUGAAUAUGGAUCGGCUAACUCCGUGCCAGCAGCCGCGGUAAUACGGAGGAUCCGAGCGUUAUCCGGAUUUAUUGGGUUUAAAGGGAGCGUAGGUGGAUUGUUAAGUCAGUUGUGAAAGUUUGCGGCUCAACCGUAAAAUUGCAGUUGAAACUGGCAGUCUUGAGUACAGUAGAGGUGGGCGGAAUUCGUGGUGUAGCGGUGAAAUGCUUAGAUAUCACGAAGAACUCCGAUUGCGAAGGCAGUUCACUGGACUGCAACUGACACUGAGGCUCGAAAGUGUGGGUAUCAAACAGGAUUAGAUACCCGAGUAGUC